rnacentral:rRNA from 1 species
AAUAUUGCACAAUGGGCGCAAGCCUGAUGCAGCCAUGCCGCGUGUAUGAAGAAGGCCUUCGGGUUGUUAAAGUACUUUCAGCAGUGAGGAAGGUGGGUAUGUUAAUAGCAUACUCAUUUGACGUUAGCUGCAGAAGAAGCACCGGCUAACUCCGUGCCAGCAGCCGCGGUAAUACGGAGGGUGCGAGCGUUAAUCGGAAUUACUGGGCGUAAAGCGCAUGCAGGUGGUUUGUUAAGUCAGAUGUGAAAGCCCGGGGCUCAACCUCGGAAUUGCAUUUUGAAAACUGGCAAACUAGAGUACUGUAGAGGGGGUAGAAUUUCAGGUGUAGCGGUGAAAAUGCGUAGAGAUCUGAAGGAAUACCGGUGGCGAAGGCGGCCCCCUGGACAGAUACUGACACUCAGAUGCGAAAGCGUGGGGAGCAAACAGGAUUAGAUACCCUGGUAG